rnacentral:rRNA from 1 species
UACGGAGGGGGCGAGCGUUGUUCGGAAUUACUGGGCGUAAAGGGCGUGUAGGCGGUUUGUUAAGUUAGGCGUGAAAGCCCCGGGCUCAACCUGGGAUGUGCGCUUAAAACUGGCAGACUUGAGACCGGGAGAGGGUAGUGGAAUUUCCAGUGUAGAGGUGAAAUUCGUAGAUAUUGGAAAGAACACCAGUGGCGAAGGCGGCUACCUGGCCCGGAUCUGACGCUGAGGCGCGAAAGCGUGGGGAGCAAACAGG